rnacentral:rRNA from 1 species
GACGAACGCUGGCGGCGUGCCUAAUACAUGCAAGUCGAGCGGACGAAUCGAAAGCUUGCUUUUGAUUCGUUAGCGGCGGACGGGUGAGUAACACGUGGGCAACCUGCCCUGUAGACGGGGAUAACACCGAGAAAUCGGUGCUAAUACCGGAUAACACGAAAUGUCGCAUGACGUUUCGUUGAAAGACGGCGCAAGCUGUCGCUACAGGAUGGGCCCGCGGCGCAUUAGCUAGUUGGUGAGGUAACGGCUCACCAAGGCGACGAUGCGUAGCCGACCUGAGAGGGUGAUCGGCCACACUGGGACUGAGACACGGCCCAGACUCCUACGGGAGGCAGCAGUAGGGAAUCUUCCGCAAUGGACGAAAGUCUGACGGAGCAACGCCGCGUGAGCGAAGAAGGCCUUCGGGUCGUAAAGCUCUGUUGUUAGGGAAGAACAAGUAACGCAGUAACUGGCGUUACCGUGACGGUACCUAAAGAGAAAGCCACGGCUAACUACGUG